UACAGAGGGGGCAAGCGUUGUUCGGAAUUACUGGGCGUAAAGGGCGCGUAGGCGGCCUUCUAAGUCGAACGUGAAAUCCCCGGGCUCAACCCGGGAACUGCGUCCGAUACUGGAAGGCUUGAAUCCGGGAGAGGGAUGUGGAAUUCCAGGUGUAGCGGUGAAAUGCGUAGAUAUCGGGAGGAACACCUGUGGCGAAAGCGGCUCACUGGACCACAACUGACGCUGAGGCGCGAAAGCUAGGGGAGCAAACAGG
rnacentral:rRNA from 1 species